rnacentral:rRNA from 1 species
UAAGGUGGUUAUUGCAAUGGGGCUCACCUCUUACCAUCCCGAACAGAGAAGUUAAGCCCAUUAGCGCCGAUGGUACUACAUUUGUGGAAGAGUAGGUCACCGCCUUUU